rnacentral:lncRNA from 1 species
CUCGGGGUGCUUGGCCCUUGAGACAGGAGACUUGCUGAUGCCCCCGGCCAGAUAAACCCCUUCCUUCAACUCGGAGUCUGAGGAGUUUUGUCUGCGGCUCAUCCUGCUACAGGCUCAUUGCAAGUUCCGCCUCCUGGAUUCACGCCAUUCUCCUGCCUCAGCCUCCCAAAGUGCUGGAAUUACAGGCCUGAGCCACCGCGCGGCCAUUUUCAAUUUUAAAAAACUUUUUUAUUACAGAAAUGUUCACAUAUACACUAAAGUAGACAAGCUAAUAUAAAGAAUGUAAUGUAUUUAUGAGGUAGUUUCAAGUUAUCAACCCACAUUCCCCACCCCUACAUUUUAAAGUAAAUUUCAGUGAUGUCAUUUAGUGUACAGAUAGUUGCCUAGGGACCUUUAAAAUUUGUUCUUUCUUUUUUCUUUUUUUUUUUUUUUUGAAUCGGGGUCUCACUCUGUCACCCAGGCUGCAGUGCAGUGGUGCAAUUAUAGCUGGCUGGAACUACAGGUGCACGCCACCAUGCCCAGCUAAUUUUUAAUUUUUUUUUUUUGUAGAGACAAGGCAGGGGGGUCUCCCUUUUCUUCCCAGGCUGGUCUUGGACUCCUAACCUCAAGGGAUCCUCCUGCUUCGACCUCCAAAAGUGCUGGGAUUACAGGUGUGAGCCACCAUGCCCAAAUUUGUACAUUCUUUUGGUGUACAUAUAAGAAUACAUUUGUAAGAUAAAUUCCAAAAUAUGAAUAUCUUGGGUCAAAGAAGAGCUGAAUUUUACAUUGAUAGCUAUUGCCCACUUGUUCUUUACAAAGCGUGUAUGGAUUUAUACUCCUAUCAACAAUAAAUUAGCCAGGCAUGCUGACGUGCACUCGUAAACCCUGCUAUUCAAAAGGAUAGUUGAAGUCCAAGAGUUCAAGACCAGUGUGGGUAACAUAGAGAGGCCUCCUCUAGGGGAGGAAAAAAGGGUUUCCCUAUAUCCUCAUCAAAACAAUAUAUAGUCAAACUUUUCAUCUUUGCAUUUGUGAAAAAUUGUAUUUUAUUUUUGUUUUAUGAUACUUUAAGAAAUCAUUUGUAUUUUUCUGUAGAAACCUGUUUUUCUCUGAGUUGAACAUUUUUGUACUGAUUUUUUUAAUAAUUAGAACUUUUUUAAUAAUUUAGAACUUUUUGUCAUACAUUUUACAAAUAUUUUUCUUGGUUGGGGUUUGUUAUAUUUAUUUGCUAUGCAGAAAAUUUAGAUUUCUAUGUAGUUACAUUUAUCAAUUUUUAUUUAUUUAUUUAGAGACAGAGUCUUGCUCUGUCGCCCAGGCUGGACUGC